UACAGAGGAUGCAAGCGUUAUCCGGAAUGAUUGGGCGUAAAGCGUCUGUAGGUGGCUUUUUAAGUCCGCCGUCAAAUCCCAGGGCUCAACUCUGGACAGGCGGUUGAAACUACCAAGCUGGAGUACGGUAGGGGCAGAGGGAAUUGCCGGUGGAGCGGUGAAAUGCGUAGAGAUCGGAAAGAACACCAACGGCGAAAGCGCUCUGCUGGGCCGACACUGACACUGAGAGACGAAAGCUAGGGGAGCGAAUGGG
rnacentral:rRNA from 1 species